UAAACCACUGCCUCAUACCUCUGGUUGAGAUCUAAUGCUCUGCAUUAAAAAAAGAAACAGUUAACUGAAAUACCACCUCAUUUUUACAGUCAGGAAAUAUCUUGCAAUUAUUGCCAUUGUCAAAAAUGAUUUUAGCUUAAACUAUGCUACUGUAGCACAGGACAUAAAAAAGGAAAGGAUUUACUGCCGAAUGCUAAGUCAUGCUUUAUUUUAGUAUGUAAGGAGCUAAUAUAGCAAUGUAAUAUAGAGAACAUAGAUCCAAAUAAAAGUUCACGUGUUCCUGCCAACUCCAAGCAAUUUAGUUUUGUGACUCAGGCAGCAUAAUUGUGAAAUUGGCUCAGAACUCAUUACAUUGUUUUAUCUGUUUGUAUUUUUAAAUGCAUGCUUCAGGUUCAUUUCAUUUGCCUUAAGACUCUAAGGUUCAUCUCAGCUGCAUAUUGAAGGCUUUUGUGUGUGUGUGUAACCCUACGGUCUAUGAGGCUACUUCUUAUUGCUGAGAGCAGAGAUUCUCUCACAAUUGUUUGUCAGACUGGGACUGUGAAACAUUAAAUGCCCCCAAAAUACUCACAAUAAAAUAAAGGGGAUACCGUAAGCCUGAACACAGGCACAUUGUGGCUCUGCCCCAUCCAGCUACCCACACUCUGCGGAGGAUACAGGAUAAAUGAAAGGGAUGUGCAAAAUACCUUGUGUGUUUCCUGAGAUGACACUAGAUUUUGCUCAGUUUGUCUCCAAAUCCAGAGACAAAAAAGAUGUGAAAUUCUAAAACACUGAUUACAAUGAGGAGACAAUUUUGUAUCGUGUUAGGGUGCAUUUCAUAAGACAGUUUCUGAGACUGCGUGCUGGUGCUGAGUGUUUUCGAAUGUAAAUCUGAUCACAGGCUGCAGCCCAUGUGGUGUAUAAACAAGCCAUAUUUUUAAACACAGUGUGAAAUGUGGGGGCUGACGUGACCAUUAUCAGAGCCUCAUACAUGACUUAUGAGACAUCAUAAAAUAUUUUCAUGUUGCAACAAUGAAAACUGAAGCUACUCAGUGGUAGGCUUGUUUGAUCUGAUAGCUGCCCCGGCUCCCUUCACUGGGUGAAGGGAAGAAUGUUAUUCAAAGGCUAUCCUUCUGAAUGCUAAGUUGUUUUCUCAUAAAUUUCUUACAAAGAAAGAACAUCUUAAAAGGUUUCUUACAGAAUGACUGAUGAAGAAUAGACCACUAAGACAAUGGAAGUGACAUUUCCAGGGAUUUGGGGCCAUUCCACCUUGCCCAUGAAGCAACUCAGCUAGACACCUUAAUCAGGCUGGAACAGAGUUGCGAAGGUGACUACUGAAAAGCCAUCCCCACUCCUGUGCACUGUGACCUCUGCCUUGCAGGUUUAUAGGACUUUUAUGACUUAACCAGCGGACUGUAAAAUACACAUUUAAAUGCAUUCAACUCAGAUAACAAUCUCAUCAUUAAAACAGCCUAGCUUCUCUGUUUGAAGUUAAUCACUCUCAAAUUCUUCUGGAUUCAUCAGCACACUUACCAAUACCUGUUUUUUCUCCCUAAAGUUGGCACUGUAACAUGACACAAAGACCUUCAGCUCUUAGAAAAUAGCAUAAAAGACUGCAAAUCUUAUUGAAAAUUCUCUUCAUCUUUAGAGAAAAAUCUACAGAAAAGUCAAAUCCCAAUUUGAAUUCAGGACAUCUUCAAACAUUAAAAAUUAAUCACGUUCUGAGAUCCAGGUGAAAGGAUGACUGCUUUUCAUGUUUUAUUAUGCUAAAAAUACAGUUGAGCAGCGAGCACAAUGUGGUAACAUUGCACAGGCAGCAAAAUACCAAAAUAACACCAAGGACAGGAGACUGUUUUAAUGUACUUUCUGGCAUGAACUGAGGACGGAGUGUGGCUGGAAGCAGAGUGACGCUGCUUCGGGCAGGCACCUCCCGUUAAUCUCGUUAGGCGCACGCUGCGGGUUCACUCGGGCCCUCACGGAAAGCAAGAGCAGAAAUCCCACUGUUCUCAGCAGCCCAGAACAUAUCAAAAGCUAUAUCUGCCAUUCUAGUGCAUUAAAUCCUAGUUAAAUGAAGGAAAAUGAACCAAACUUCAGGGAAUUUACGUCAGAGCAGCUGUUUGCGUGCAUCUUCUGCUGGUCUUAACUCUCACACUUUGGGUUUUCCUGUUAGCAUUCACAAUAACGUCAUUGCAUCAUAGUCCUAGUGUUUAAUAUUCCCUCUUUCAAAAUAUGAAGUUGCAGCUGACUCCCUGUAUCCUUCUGGGAUAAAUGCAGAAAAAGCUUAACUUAACAGCUGCUAUAUAUUAUUAUUAUUACCUAUUACAUCAUA